UGGCUUGAAACAGCUGCGGCGAUCGCCCAUAUGUUGAGAGUUCCCUCGGGGACUAUGGACAUAAACGCGCACGUAAUAAGCGGAUCGGACCCGGGGGCGGUACCCGGCGGCUCCACCAAACGCCCAUCGUUGGGGGCACAUGGGGCCGAAACAGGAUCGACGGACGUCUAAAGGUGUUUGCUUUGUCCCGGUGAGGUACCACCGAUAUCGGUCCGUUAAGCAUAAUUGCCAACGACAAUCGUGCUCCGGUUGCGGUUGCUGCGUAAGCAGUACCCAAUACCGAACUUUAAGCCCUUGCCUCUAGCAAGGUAAGGCGGGGUUCGCAGGCACCUGGCAACAGAAGCCUGCACU
rnacentral:tmRNA from 1 species